UUGAACGAGACGGUUCACUACUUGUCGGCAGCAACGAGCAAUAUGGAGAAUAAUGUGUUAGAAAACUGAUGCAGAAGCCAAGCUUUAAUUGAAAGUUAAAAAAAGAAUUAACAAAUAAAUAAAUUUGUAGUGAAACAGUAAAAACUGAAGUAAAAUGCACUUCACCAGAAUAAUAAACGCUUGGGAGCAGGGAGUUGGCCGCUUGUAUGCAAAUACUCGUAUAGACGACGGCUACAAAUGUCAGACGCUCAUCAGAAAUGCGGUAAAAAGAAGUGAAGCAACGAAAGUGGUGGAGAGUGGUUAAGGAUAAAAAUCGAGCAAAAAUAGCGCCAGUAUAACUCUGAGUGAGAAUUGUCAUACCAAUCUGUGUUCAAUGUGUACGACGUGCUUGAGUGUUCGAAGUUAUUAGACCGUAGCAGAAAUUCAAACCGCGGGGAAGCAUAAAUUUUAAUUAAAUGCCUAGAUGCGUCCCCUGACAGUCGUUUGCGCCUGGGCUCACGGUUUUCGUCACCCAAACUGCGUCGUCGUCAGCAAUAUCCGUUGUGAAACUGCGGAUUGUGCCUCUGGUGGAACAGCGAAAGCAGCGUCAUCAUGAAUUUUAAAAUUUUGCACAGCUGGCCCGAAUGAAAAACACCUACGUCAUACCCUGCUAGACAACUACAAUAGUCUGGAACGACCCGUCGUAAGAGAAUCCGAUCCACUGCAGAUGAACUUUGGGCUGGCGCUAAUGAAAAUCAUCGAUGUGAACGAGAAGAAGAAAUCGUCUGCCCAGUGAAUAAUGUCAAAGCUAUUGUGGGAAAACAUGCGAACAGACAGCAAAUAUCCGUAAACACAAAUUGAACAUGAACGGCAGACGAACAAGCUGUUCGCUUGGACACCAGCUCUCUUUAAUUUAGCAAUGCGCCUUCAUCACUUCUUGAAGAAAGCCAUGAGACCUCAAAACCUCAAACUAAAAUGCUCACGUGUCACUUGAUAAAGAAGGCAGCAUUGCUGUUAUGACAGCAAGUUGGUUGAGAUCUUCGAACGAAAUAGCAUCGGCCGUAAUUUGGGUUAAGUCAUCUGGCUACUGAAAGGUUGAGGCGAGUAAAUAUAUGAGUUGUGUUCCUGUGGGGAUGACAAUUACAUUGCUUCCGAGGCCUUUUCAUAUUUUAUUGCUGGCGAAAAAUAUUUACAUAGCAUAUUCCUUCGGUUUUCCAGCACCAGCAUAUGAGGAAGAAAAGCAGACACAAUUGCAAAGAAAUGAAAUUUAUUGUAUUAUUAUACUUUAAAUUGACAUGUAAUUCAAAUCUUAAUAUUGAU